AUUGAACGCUGGCGGAAGGCCUAACACAUGCAAGUCGAGCGAGCGGCGGACGGGUGAGUAAUGUAUGGGAAACUGCCUGAUGGAGGGGGAUAACUACUGGAAACGGUAGCUAAUACCGCAUACCAUCAGAUGAGCCAAGAUGGGAUUAGCCAGUAGGUGGGGUAACGGCUCACCUAGGCGACGAUCCCUAGCUGGUCUGAGAGGAGGACCAGCGACACGGGAACUGUGACACGGUCCAGACUCCGACGGGAGGCAGCAGGGGGGAAUAUUGCACAAUGGGGUCAAUCCUGAUGCAGCCAUGCCGCGUGUGUGAAGAAGUCCGUCGGGUUGUAAAGCACUUUCAGCGGGGAGGAGUUACCCGCAGAAGAAGCACCGGCUAACUCCGUGCCAGCAGCCGCGGUAAUUC
rnacentral:rRNA from 1 species